rnacentral:rRNA from 1 species
CACCUCUUGCUUCUAUAAGAGGCCCAGCCUGCCCGGUGACUCUUGUUUAACGGCCGCGGAACCCUAACCGUGCGAAGGUAGCGUAAUCACUUGUCCUAUAAAUGAGGACUAGUAUGAAAGGCUUCACGAGGGUUAAACUGUCUCCUUUUUCUAAUCAGUAAACCUAAUCUCCCCGUGAAGAAGCGGGGGUAACUAUAUAAGACGAGAAGACCCCAUGGAGCUUAAAACACUUCUACACCUGUCACACCCACUCUCAACAACCACUAUGUGACACCCUGUUUAAAUGUUUUCGGUUGGGGUGACUGCGGGAGACAAUAAAACCCCCGCGAUGAAAGAGGUAUUCCCCUAAACUAUAAGCCACAACUUUAAGUAUCAAAAAACUGACAUCCUUUGACCCAUUUAUAUGAUCAACGAACCAAGUUACCCUGGGGAUAACAGCGCAAUCCACCUUAAGAGCCCUUAUCGACAGGUGGGCUUACGACCUCGAUGUUGGAUCAGGGUAUCCUAGUGGUGCAGCCGCUACUAAAGGUUCGUUUGUUCAACGAUUAAAACCCU